UGGGGAAUUUUGCACAAUGGGGGAAACCCUGAUGCAGCGACGCCGCGUGAUUUAGAAGGCCUUCGGGUUGUAAAAAUCUUUUCUAUGGGAAGAAAAUGACAGUACCAUAGGAAUAAGGACCGGCUAAUUACGUGCCAGCAGCCGCGGUAAUACGUAAGGUCCGAGCGUUGUCCGGAAUCAUUGGGCGUAAAGGGUACGUAGGCGGGUAAGCAAGUUAGAAGUGAAAUCCUAUAGCUCAACUAUAGUAAGCUUUUAAAACUGCUCAUCUUGAGGUAUGGAAGGGAAAGUGGAAUUCCUAGUGUAGCGGUGAAAUGCGCAGAAAUUAGGAGGAAUACCGGUGGCGAAGGCGACUUUCUGGCCAUAACCUGACGCUGAGGUACGAAAGCGUGGGUAGCAAACAGG
rnacentral:rRNA from 1 species